CAGCGGACCAGACGCCCUCCUAACAGACCUCUUCAGGACUGCAGCAGGACUUUAACCUUUGCUUCAGGAUGAACAGAACAACACUGCAGGAAAUGGAGGAAAUCAAAGAAGAAGCUGUAUAUGUUAAUGCAGCAGAAUGCACUGUGGAUAAAAGGGCAGCCCCUCCAGGUGCAUUAUGAACACAAUACAUUUCACAAUUUAAUGUCGUUAAACAUGAGAUUUAUUCAUCAAUCAUGAAGUUCAAACAUGUGAUAAUGAUGAAGGUUGGAAAUGUGAAUAUUGAAUCAUCUCCUUUUCUUCUAUAUUAAAAGUGUAUUCAAAGAAGCUUUGACUGUUGAAAGAAGUUGUUCAGGUGCUUCAACUGAUUUCUUAUUUUUCAGACCAGAGGUUUCUCUUCUUCACUCGCUCUUUUCUACCCAUAGCGGUGUGUUGGCUGAUACUGUUAGCCAUCAUGGGCGCUCGUAUCCACUUUACCGCCAAGCUGACUGCAGAC